AAGCCAAUGCAUGCUUUUACAGUAUGGAAAUUGGUGAUUUAUAAUAACUUGGCAAAUCGCAAAGUGAAAACAGCGAUAAAUCAUUCAAGUUUCUGACCUAUCAGCUUUCGACGGUAUGGUAUUGGCUUACCGUGGCAGUGACGGUUAGGGGGAUUAGGGUUCGAUUCCGGAGAGGGAGCCUGAGAAACGGCUACCACAUCUAAGGAAGGCAGCAGGCGGCAAAUUCCCAAUUCUAACAGUUUGAGAGAGGUAGUAACAAGAAAUAACAAUACAAGGCAAUUAAAAUGCUUUGUAUUGGAAUGAUAGAAAUUUAAACCCUUUUUAAAGUAUCAAUUGGAGGGCAAGUCUGGUGCCAGCAGCCGCGGUAUUCCAGCUCCAAUAGCGUAUAUUAAAAUUGUUGCAGUUAAAAAGCUCGUAGUUGAAGUUCUGCUAAAAGUAACCGUCUGCUUUUAAUAAAAGUGGUAUCUUGGUGUGUAUUUAGCAAUGAUGUCCUUUGAAGUGUUUUUUACUUUAUUGUAUAAAGCAUAUUCAGGACUUUUACUUUGAGAAAAUUAGAGUGUUUCUAGCAGGCCGACGCUUUGAAUACUGCGCAUGAAAAAAAAUAAAGA
rnacentral:rRNA from 1 species